rnacentral:rRNA from 1 species
GGUUUAAUUCGAUGCAACGCGAAUAACCUUACCUGGCCUUGACAUCCACGGAACCCUGCAGAGAUGCGGGGGUGCCUUCGGGAACCGUGAGACAGGUGCUGCAUGGCUGUCGUCAGCUCGUGUCGUGAGAUGUUGGGUUAAGUCCCGCAACGAGCGCAACCCUUGUCCCUAGUUGCCAGCAUUCAGUUGGGCACUCCAGGGAGACCGCGGUGACAAACCGGAC